AGUGAACGCUGGCGGUAGGCCUAACACAUGCAAGUCGAACGGCAGCACAGUAAGAGCUUGCUCUUACGGGUGGCGAGUGGCGGACGGGUGAGGAAUACAUCGGAAUCUACUUUUUCGUGGGGGAUAACGUAGGGAAACUUACGCUAAUACCGCAUACGACCUACGGGUGAAGGCAGGGGAUCUUCGGACCUUGCGCGAUUGAAUGAGCCGAUGUCGGAUUAGCAAGUUGGCGGGGUAAAGGCCCACCAAGGCGACGAUCCGUAGCUGGUCUGAGAGGAUGAUCAGCCACACUGGAACUGAGACACGGUCCAGACUCCUACGGGAGGCAGCAGUGGGGAAUAUUGGACAAUGGGCGCAAGCCUGAUCCAGCCAUACCGCGUGGGUGAAGAAGGCCUUCGGGUUGUAAAGCCCUUUUGUUGGGAAAGAAAAGCAGCAGGUUAAUACCCCGCUGUUCUGACGGUACCCAAAGAAUAAGCACCGGCUAACUUCGUG
rnacentral:rRNA from 1 species